GAGAGAUUAAUUGGUUUACUGAAAUCAUUCUGCAAAUAUGUCGCAGGGGACUCAGGAUUUGUUCCUAGAUCUUUGUAUUAGUCAGCGUCUUCAAGAGAAACCGAACCAAUAGAAUGUGUAUUUAGGUAUAUAGAGAGAUUUAUUUUAAGGAAUUGGCUCAUGUGAUUAUGGAGGCUGGCAAGUCCAACGUCUGCAGGGUGAACCAGCAGGCUGAAGACUCAGAGAGGAGCCAAUCCUGCAGUCAAGUCUGAAGACUGUCUGCUACCAAAGUCCCUCUUGCUCGGGAGAAGGUGUUUCUAGGAGCUGGAAAGCUCACGACAGCAUUGUGCAGGAAGGACACAGAGACAGAAUCGCUGCACCAAGCUGGAGGAGAGAAUGGCACCAGAACGAGCUCUGGCCCAGCGCUCUGUGGAGUGGACCUAUGAGGCCCACUGUAGGAGCAUGGUCCCACCAAUUCAGAUGGCUGCAGGGGCUGGGAAGGCGAUACACAGGACUAAAAGAGACCAUGGGCAUCUGGCAAAUAGGAAAACAUGGGCUCCAUUUAGAGGAAGGAGCUGUGUCUUAAGCCAUUUUGUGUUACUGUAAAGGAAUACCUGAGGCUGGGCAAUUUUUAUAUAUAUAUAUAUAUAUAUA
rnacentral:lncRNA from 10 species